rnacentral:rRNA from 1 species
UACGUAGGGUGCAAGCGUUAAUCGGAAUUACUGGGCGUAAAGCGUGCGCAGGCGGCUUUGCAAGACAGAUGUGAAAUCCCCGGGCUCAACCUGGGAACUGCAUUUGUGACUGCAUGGCUGGAGUGCGGCAGAGGGGGGUGGAAUUCCGCGUGUAGCAGUGAAAUGCGUAGAUAUGCGGAGGAACACCGAUGGCGAAGGCAAUCCCCUGGGCCUGCACUGACGCUCAUGCACGAAAGCGUGGGGAGCAAACAGG